rnacentral:rRNA from 1 species
UACGUAGGGUGCGAGCGUUAAUCGGAAUUACUGGGCGUAAAGCGUGCGUAGGCGGUUCGUUAAGUUCGUUGUGAAAGCCCCGGGCUCAACCUGGGAACUGCAAUGGAAACUGGCGGGCUUGAGUGUGGCAGAGGGGGGUGGAAUUCCGCGUGUAGCAGUGAAAUGCGUAGAGAUGCGGAGGAACACCGAUGGCGAAGGCAGCCCCCUGGGCCUGCACUGACGCUCAUGCACGAAAGCGUGGGGAGCAAACAGG